GAUGAACGCUGGCGGCGUGCCUAAUACAUGCAAGUCGAGCGAGCGGAACCAACAGUUUUACUUCGGUCAUUACGUUGGGAAAGCGAGCGGCGGAUGGGUGAGUAACACUUUGGGAACCUGCCCACAAGUCUGAGAUACCACUUGUAACCAGUUACUUAUACCGGCUCAUAGAUCAGAUCGCAUGGUCAGCUUUUAAAUGGCGUCGUGAUCUGUCGCUACGGCAUGACCCCGCGGUGCAUUAGCUAGUUGGUAAGGUAACGGCUUACCAAGGCAACGAUGCAUAGCCGAGUUGAGAGAGUGAUCGGCCACAUUGGAACUGAGACACGGCCCAAACUCCUACGGGAGGCAGCAGUAGGGAAUCUUCCACAAUGGACGCAAGUCUGAUGGAGCAACGCCGCGUGAGUGAAGAAGGUUUUCGGAUCGUAAAACUCUGUUGUUGGUGAAGAAGGAUAGAGGUAGUAACUAGCCAUUAUUUGACGGUAAUCAACCAGAAAGCCACGGCUAACUACGUG
rnacentral:rRNA from 1 species